UACGUAGGGUGCGAGCGUUAAUAGGAUUUACUGGGCGUGAAGCGUGCGCAGGCGGCCCGUUAAGACAGGUGUGAAAUCCCUGGGCUCAACCUAGGAAUUGCGCUUGUGACUGGCGGGCUCGAGUACGGUAGAGGGGGGUGGAAUUCCUGGUGUAGCAGUGAAAUGCGUAGAGAUCAGGAGGAACACCGAUGGCGAAGGCAGCCCCCUGGGCCUGUACUGACGCUCAUGCACGAAAGCGUGGGGAGCAAACGGG
rnacentral:rRNA from 1 species